AAUGUGAUUAGCUACGGAGUGUUCUCAGUUGUUUUGCCCUGCCCACAGCGCUCAGCAGAGCCAGGGUGUAGAGGGAGGCUUUCUCUCAGCUGUCCUUUCCCUGUCCUGGCACUGAGUUCAGUCAUAUGUCAUUGCCUAAAGGGAUUCUCUCAGCUCCCGCUGGGCCCUCAGACUUCCGUGGGCCCAGAGCAGUUUAAGGGGACCCUUUCAGCACACCUGCUCCCCUCCUCCCCACCCUGCGCUGUGAGCGACCCUAACUCAUGCUUCAGCUGCUUUGUCUCAUUUCCUGGCCCUGCAUCCAGUCCUCAGGGUGAGCACUUGUUGAGGAGCCAUGGAUAAGACUGGACAGCUCCAUGAGCAUAUCAUCCCACUGCCUUCUGGAUCCACUGCUUCUGAUGGGAGCAUCUCUGGAGGUCCUAUUCACCAGCCUAAGGCUUCUGGUCUCUAAGAUCUCAUCAUUCAUUCAAGCAUUCCAAGCAACACCAAGGAGAGGCCAUGUGAGGACACAGCAAGAAGGGGCCGUCUACCAAUGAGGAAGAGAGCUUUCAGCAGAACCCAACCAGGAGGGCAUUUUGGUGUUGAUCUUCUAGUCUCUGGAACUGCGAGUGAGGAAAGAAAUGUCUGUUGUUUAGCCCUACACCACCCCCCACCCCAAUUGGUGGCAUUUAGUGAUGGCACUCCAAGCUGACCGAGACCACAUCCAAGCCCAAUUCUACCAGCAAAUUCCAAGUUCAGUGAAGAUGUCCAGUCUCAAGCAUUUUUUUAACUUCUUCUGAAGCUUGAGGGAUCAGUUCCUUUCUGUAACCUAAGAGAUAUGAUAUCUUUAAAUACACAAGCUUAAUGUCUAUACAAAGAAAAAUCUUUUACAGGAAUUUUGCAAUUAUUGUUUCUUCCCCUAUUACAGUCUGCAUAAUUAAGAUUUAAGACGGGGCACUUGCAACUUAGUGGAAUUUACUUGAGAACCAUGAACCACCAACAUAGUGUAUUAAUGCCGUGUCUUGCGACAAGAAAGAAAGUGUUAAUUACCUAGUGAUUUCUGGGGUUCUUCAUACCUGCAAUGUGGGAUUUCACCCAGUGUCUCCCCAAACACCUGCCCGCUCUCUACUGUGGAUUAAAAUACGUUUAAUGAAUGUCGUGCUUUAACUAGGGACUCAGGCAUUCUCAUUCUGCUCCUGUGUACGGCCAAGGCUGGCGUCGAACAGCCCUGAAGUUUUCAGGCUCUAAUACCCUCUUUCACGAAGGCAUUAUCCAAGAUUCUUCUCUAAGGAGAACUGUUGUCAUGUUUUCUAAAACCCACAAGACAGGGAAAUGGACGGGUCAUUUUGUUUUAUCUCCUCAUGAGCGCUAGUUAAAAGGCUUUAACAAAAAACAAUAGCAGAGCUCGAUUAUCCCUACGGUAAAAUCUGUGAAGCUGUUUCAGCACACAAAUAUGAUUUCUUCAGCAAGCGUGCUCUAACAACUGCAUGCAUUGUUGAAUUCUUGAAACUGUCCUUCUCACUCCCCCUGAACUCCACACCACCAGUCUCCUGGAAUGUUCUCAGGAUUUAGAGCACGAAGCAAAAUAGGAAAAUUUAUCCCUGAAAAGUUGAGAAACACAACAGGCAUCGAACUCACUGAAGGGUUUAAUGGACAGAGAGAUUGAUUUGAUAUCCUCACUAAAUGCCUCUCUUUGCAGGAACACGGGAGUCUGUGACUGUUUUGCAAACCAUCAGGAAUAAUUGUGGUUACAAUUUUAUUAGUAGCUGGGGGAUAUAGUUAUAUUUCCUCCCAUCUUGAUUUUCAGGCAACUUUGCUGCGGAGUUUUCUGCAUCUUAAUUUGGGAAAUGAGCUCAGAGCACACCCGUGCCGUUGUGCAUUAACGAACGCACACUGGUCGGCUAGGCAUUAUUUACAGGAAAUUCUUGACACACCCUUCGUGUUUUCAAGACCUCGCCAGCUAGACUGAACAGGUCUCUUUUAGUCGUGCUCUUCAAGGCAAAUAUUUGCAUUUAUUUAAAGUGUUUUAUUCCCAGGGUACCUGGGUGGCUCCGCCGGUUAAGCGUCUGAUUCUUGGUUUCGGCCCAGGU